AUGGAGAGUUUGAUCCUGGCUCAGGAUGAACGCUAGCGGCAGGCCUAAUACAUGCAAGUCGAACGAGAUUCAAGACUUCGGUUUUGAUGAAAGUGGCGCACGGGUGCGUAACGCGUAUGCAACCUACCCUUAACUGGGGGAUAGCCCGGAGAAAUUCGGAUUAAUACCCCAUAGUAUCACAAGAUGGCAUCUGAAAGUGAUUAAAGAUUUAUUGGUUAAGGAUGGGCAUGCGUGACAUUAGAUAGUUG
rnacentral:rRNA from 1 species